AUUGAACGCUGGCGGCAUGCUUUACACAUGCAAGUCGAACGGCAGCGCGGGGCAACCUGGCGGCGAGUAGCGAACGGGUGAGUAAUAUAUCGGAACGUACCCAGAAGUGGGGGAUAACGUAGCGAAAGUUACGCUAAUACCGCAUACGAUCUACGGAGGAAAGUAGGGGACCGCAAGGCCUUAUGCUUUUGGAGCGGCCGAUAUCUGAUUAGCUAGUUGGUGAGGUAAAGGCUCACCAAGGCGACGAUCAGUAGCUGGUCUGAGAGGACGACCAGCCACACUGGAACUGAGACACGGUCCAGACUCCUACGGGAGGCAGCAGUGGGGAAUUUUGGACAAUGGGCGCAAGCCUGAUCCAGCAAUGCCGCGUGAGUGAAGAAGGCCUUCGGGUUGUAAAGCUCUUUUGUCAGGGAAGAAACGGUAGAGGCUAAUAUCCUUUGCUAAUGACGGUACCUGAAGAAUAAGCACCGGCUAACUACGUG
rnacentral:rRNA from 1 species